rnacentral:lncRNA from 1 species
CUGGAUGUCUGUGCCAGUCCUUGCAGAUACUCAGAGCCUCCUCUCAUUCCAGCUCUUUGAGGCUCAGCGCUGCCAUAGGCAGCAGGAGCAACAUGCACAGGCAGAGGGAGGAGUCUGCUGUACUGGGCUCACUGCUCAGGGAUGAGUCCUGCAAGUCCAGAUCUCCUCCUGAGGCCCCAGAGAGCUCUUUCUCUGGGUGGAAGGUUCUCUUUCCCCGUUUGUCUUGUGGACACAGUUUGCAGGAAACGUCAGCCAGCG